rnacentral:tRNA from 1 species
UCCCUUGUGAUCCAGUGGUUAGGACUCUGCAGUUUCACUGCUGUGGUCCAGGUUCAAUCCCUGGUCUGGGAA